rnacentral:rRNA from 1 species
UCAACCCUUGACAUCCUGUGCUACAUCCAGAGAUGGAUGGUUCCUUUCGGGGACGCAGUGACAGGUGCUGCAUGGCUGUCGUCAGCUCGUGUCGUGAGAUGUUCGGUUAAGUCCGGCAACGAGCGCAACCCGCGUCUUUAGUUGCCAGCAGUUCGGCUGGGCACUCUAAAGAAACUGCCCGUGAUAAGCGGGAGGAAGGUGUGGAUGACGUCAAGUCCUCAUGGCCCUUACGGGUUGGGCUACACACGUGCUACAAUGGUGUCUACAGUGGGUUAAUCUCCAAAAGACAUCUCAGUUCGGAUUGUCGUCUGCAACUCGACGGCAUGAAGUCGGAAUCGCUAGUAAUCGCGUAACAGCAUGACGCGGUGAAUACGUUCCC